rnacentral:rRNA from 1 species
AUGGGUACUGCAGGGGCCACGAACGAGGUGGCGACCCUGAAGGAGGCUGUGUCUGCGGCCGAACUCAAUGCGGCCGCGGAAUGGACGGAGCGAGAGAGGCAGGAGGCGCGGGUGGCGGAGGUGCGGCAAGAGCUCCAGGCUCUCAUGGAAAAGCAUGAGAGAUUGGAGCGCGACUCGAAGACUCGAGAGUCCGAGCUUGCCUGGGCUCUCGAAAGUGCCAAGGCCACCAAGGCCGAGGCCCAUAAGGCCCUCCAGGAGAUUGAGAUGGUGAAGAAAAUAGCGGCGGGGGCGUUUGCAGAUCUGCCUCGCAGUGUGUCCGAUGCCGCCGCUUUCUACCGAGCCGAGGAGGGGAGCUCAACGGAGAAGGUCUUCUGGUCUCAGUACGCUGAGGCCGGCCAUCCGGUGCCCCCUAGCGACCAGCUGAAGCAGCUGGUCGAGCUCCACAAGGUAGCCGAGCAGGCCAUGAAGGGCCUCAUAGUCAGGCUGUGGCCUGGAGAGGCCAUGCCUGGGAGCUACUUCGGCCUCGUGCGGCGGCUGGUGGAUGCAUGCCCCUGGGUGGAGGUCAUCAAGCGCUCCGCCUGUAUUGAAGGUGCUCGUCGGGCCCUUGCCCGCGCGAAGGUGCAUUGGGGCAGGCUGGAUGCGGAGAGGCUUAUCACUGACGUGCCGCCAGCGGGCAAGGAGUAUCGUACGCCUGAGAUGUACUAUAAGACUGUCCUGAAGGGUGCCCGCAAGAUUGCGGAUGAGUGCCCCAGAUAUGUAAUUAUUGAGUAA